rnacentral:rRNA from 1 species
GGGCGCACGGUGGAUGCCUUGACACUAGGAGUCGAUGAAGGACGGGACUAACGCCGAUAUGCUUCGGGGAGCUGUAAGUAAGCUUUGAUCCGAAGAUUUCCGAAUGGGGAAACCCACCAUACGUAAUGGUAUGGUAUCCUUAUCUGAAUACAUAGGGUAAGGAAGACAGACCCAGGGAACUGAAACAUCUAAGUACCUGGAGGAAGAGAAAGCAAAUGCGAUUUCCUGAGUAGCGGCGAGCGAAACGGAACAUAGCCCAAACCAAGAGGCUUGCCUCUUGGGGUUGUAGGACAUUCUAUACGGAGUUACAAAGGAACGAGGUAGACGAAGCGACCUGGAAAGGUCCGUCGUAGAGGGUAACAACCCCGUAGUCGAAACUUCGUUCUCUCUUGAAUGUAUCCUGAGUACGGCGGAACACGUGAAAUUCCGUCGGAAUCUGGGAGGACCAUCUCCCAAGGCUAAAUACUCCCUAGUGAUCGAUAGUGAACCAGUACCGUGAGGGAAAGGUGAAAAGCACCCCGGAAGGGGAGUGAAAGAGAUCCUGAAACCGUGUGCCUACAAAUAGUCAGAGCCCGUUAACGGGUGAUGGCGUGCCUUUUGUAGAAUGAACCGGCGAGUUACGAUCCCGUGCGAGGUUAAGCUGAAGAGGCGGAGCCGCAGCGAAAGCGAGUCUGAAUAGGGCGUUUAGUACGUGGUCGUAGACCCGAAACCAGGUGAUCUACCCAUGUCCAGGGUGAAGUUCAGGUAACACUGAAUGGAGGCCCGAACCCACGCACGUUGAAAAGUGCGGGGAUGAGGUGUGGGUAGCGGAGAAAUUCCAAUCGAACCUGGAGAUAGCUGGUUCUCCCCGAAAUAGCUUUAGGGCUAGCCUUAAGUGUAAGAGUCUUGGAGGUAGAGCACUGAUUGGACUAGGGGUCCUCAUCGGAUUACCGAAUUCAGUCAAACUCCGAAUGCCAAUGACUUAUCCUUAGGAGUCAGACUGCGAGUGAUAAGAUCCGUAGUCAAAAGGGAAACAGCCCAGACCGCCAGCUAAGGUCCCAAAGUGUGUAUUAAGUGGAAAAGGAUGUGGAGUUGCUUAGACAACUAGGAUGUUGGCUUAGAAGCAGCCACCAUUUAAAGAGUGCGUAAUAGCUCACUAGUCGAGUGACUCUGCGCCGAAAAUGUACCGGGGCUAAAUACACCACCGAAGCUGCGGAUUGAUACCAAUGGUAUCAGUGGUAGGGGAGCGUUCUAAGGACAGUGAAGUCAGACCGGAAGGACUGGUGGAGUGCUUAGAAGUGAGAAUGCCGGUAUGAGUAGCGAAAGACGGGUGAGAAUCCCGUCCACCGAAUGCCUAAGGUUUCCUGAGGAAGGCUCGUCCGCUCAGGGUUAGUCAGGACCUAAGCCGAGGCCGACAGGCGUAGGCGAUGGACAACAGGUUGAUAUUCCUGUACCACCUCUUUAUCGUUUGAGCAAUGGAGGGACGCAGAAGGAUAGAAGAAGCGUGCGAUUGGUUGUGCACGUCCAAGCAGUUAGGCUGAUAAGUAGGCAAAUCCGCUUAUCGUGAAGGCUGAGCUGUGAUGGGGAAGCUCCUUAUGGAGCGAAGUCUUUGAUUCCCCGCUGCCAAGAAAAGCUUCUAGCGAGAUAAAAGGUGCCUGUACCGCAAACCGACACAGGUAGGCGAGGAGAGAAUCCUAAGGUGUGCGAGAGAACUCUGGUUAAGGAACUCGGCAAAAUGACCCCGUAACUUCGGGAGAAGGGGUGCUUUCUUAACGGAAAGCCGCAGUGAAUAGGCCCAAGCGACUGUUUAGCAAAAACACAGCUCUCUGCGAAGCCGUAAGGCGAAGUAUAGGGGGUGACACCUGCCCGGUGCUGGAAGGUUAAGGAGAGGGGUUAGCGUAAGCGAAGCUCUGAACUGAAGCCCCAGUAAACGGCGGCCGUAACUAUAACGGUCCUAAGGUAGCGAAAUUCCUUGUCGGGUAAGUUCCGACCCGCACGAAAGGUGUAACGAUUUGGGCACUGUCUCAACCAGAGACUCGGUGAAAUUAUAGUACCUGUGAAGAUGCAGGUUACCCGCGACAGGACGGAAAGACCCCGUGGAGCUUUACUGUAGCCUGAUAUUGAAUUUUGGUACAGUUUGUACAGGAUAGGCGGGAGCCUUUGAAACCGGAGCGCUAGCUUCGGUGGAGGCGCUGGUGGGAUACCGCCCUGACUGUAUUGAAAUUCUAACCUACGGGUCUUAUCGACCCGGGAGACAGUGUCAGGUGGGCAGUUUGACUGGGGCGGUCGCCUCCUAAAGUGUAACGGAGGCGCCCAAAGGUUCCCUCAGAAUGGUUGGAAAUCAUUCGUAGAGUGCAAAGGCAUAAGGGAGCUUGACUGCGAGACCUACAAGUCGAGCAGGGACGAAAGUCGGGCUUAGUGAUCCGGUGGUUCCGCAUGGAAGGGCCAUCGCUCAACGGAUAAAAGCUACCCCGGGGAUAACAGGCUUAUCUCCCCCAAGAGUCCACAUCGACGGGGAGGUUUGGCACCUCGAUGUCGGCUCAUCGCAUCCUGGGGCUGUAGUCGGUCCCAAGGGUUGGGCUGUUCGCCCAUUAAAGCGGUACGCGAGCUGGGUUCAGAACGUCGUGAGACAGUUCGGUCCCUAUCCGUCGUGGGCGUAGGAAAUUUGAGAGGAGCUGUCCUUAGUACGAGAGGACCGGGAUGGACGCACCGCUGGUGUACCAGUUGUUCUGCCAAGGGCAUAGCUGGGUAGCUAUGUGCGGAAGGGAUAAGUGCUGAAAGCAUCUAAGCAUGAAGCCCACCUCAAGAUGAGAUUUCCCAUAGCGUAAGCUAGUAAGAUCCCUGAAAGAUGAUCAGGUUGAUAGGUUCGAGGUGGAAGCAUGGUGACAUGUGGAGCUGACGAAUACUAAUAGAUCGAGGACUUAACCAUAUA